ensembl:rRNA 5S_rRNA 5S ribosomal RNA
GUCUACAGCCUUCCACCACUGAAUGCGCCUGAUCUAGGCUGAUCUCAGAAGCUAAGCAGCCUCUGUCCUGGUUUGUACUUGGAUGGCAAUGAAGGAUCAUGAGGUAACAAAUGAUU